rnacentral:lncRNA from 13 species
CAAGGAUAUAUGUCCACAGCGCUGGGGCCAGGAAGCUGCAGCUGGUGCUAGGUUAAUUUCCAGAAUUAGGCUGCGGUCCCUUUUCAUAAAUUCCCCAAUAAUUAGAAUAGCCAUUAAACUGUGACUUUUUAAGGGGGAGAGAUUUCAUUAUAGAUCCAGUUUUGCCUUGGGCUGCUGUGGAUCAUUUCACAGAAAUUCAGGGUUGGAAUGGCCCUGAAGGGUCAUCCAGCGCCAGAAUCUCCACCAUUAUAGCCCCCCGCUUUUUUUCUUUUUCUUUUUUAGCAGCCCAGCUUAAAGAAAGAAAGAAAGAAGAAAAAAAAAACCCUGCUAGACGUUGGAUGUACAGCCAAACACCUGGGUUGAGAUCUGAAUGCAGAAAACAGGCAUGGAAUGCCAGGAAUGCAGCAUCAGUGUCUAAGCUGUGGCCUCCCAGUGGAGCUGGAUUUGAUCCUGGCUGCCUUCCACUGAAGCUGAAGACUGAAGAUUUGGAUCAGAAUAUAAGGCCCAAUGAGUAAAGGUCCUCUAAGUGCUAAAUUUUCCUCCUUUGAAGAUGAAACCUUAAUACCAGUUAAGAUCAAAUUAAAUGCUCAAAACAAAUUAUCUUAAAUUUCAAAAGUAUUUGUGUUUGGGAUGCAUUUUCAUUGGUUCCCUCAUUCAAUGUACUUUUUCCUUCUUUGAUUCCAUUUGUGAGUGGAAUUUUAAUAAUUUAAGAUGUCCAUGGUUUUUAUAAAAUUUAAACUGUCUUCAUAUUUAUAUUUAAUGAAAACUUCUACAUUUGGCUUGGUAUAUUAUCAGGGAUGUAAAGGCUGUAUAGUCUACUUGGCAAAUGCUGACAGAAGAGUCUGGGUUGGAAACCUGUUUCAGUUGCUAUACAGUUAGGGAAUUUUGCAUCAGGUCAAAGAGAGUAAUGGGUUAGGCCUGAGUUGGCUGAGCAGUUCUCGGUAGGGGCUGUCCUGUGAGCUCCUCACUGAAGGGGACUGAUUGAAAUAAGGUGACUGGUUCUACCUAGUGACUCAGUAGCCUCUGAGAGGCUCAGCUACAAAGGAGAGGAGGAUGUGGUGGUCUACCAGGUCUCUCCGAGGUACCCAGACUUGCCAGCCUUGGGUAGGACUGACAUGUGUACCUGCACAAUCUUCUCCCGUGCUCAGGGCAGACAUCAGUAGUCCAUCUUUCCUGUUGAGGCAAGACAGACUCUGAAGCCCUGUUUCCUCCUGACACCACCAGUGUCAAGCAGCCACUACCAAUUGAAUGGAAUUGACACCAAGUGAAAUGUAACUGCCCUCCUGGCUUUGCAGCAGCCUGUCUGGGCACCUACCAUGGGAGAAAUGAGGGGGUUUUAGAGAACAGAGGAAGAAGGGCUGUCGGGGAGCAACUGUCCAUAACCUGAAUGAGGCCUGCCAGGUCCCUGCCCCUCACAGUGUGUGAGGGUGUACGGAGUGAUGGGCCUCCCCAGCCUCCCAGACAAGCCGUAAGCCUCUCAGACCCUUUGUCCUGCAGAUUUCUGGGGUCAGCAGA